rnacentral:lncRNA from 1 species
CACAGGACACAGUGCUGGGGACUCUCAGCCUUCUGCCCCUCCUGUGUGCUCACUGAGUGGUCCCUGCGGGGCAGGUUCUCCCCUCCACCAGGAGCACUCGGAGGCUCUGGUGUGUGCCGUGAACUCCAGUGGGCAACGGUGCUCAUGUCCUCCUAGCAUCGGCAUGGGUCAUAGGAGUGCCAGGACCCUGGAUGGAGCCUACGCCCCUCAGGAGACGCAGCUCUGCUCACAGCAGGCCCAGGAGCUCCCUUUGAGCACCCGACUAGAAAGAAAACUUCAGGCCUGGCUUACAACUUGUUCUGCACGGCAUGGAAAGCGCAGAGAAAGCAAACCUUCCGUGGGGGACCCGACAGCAGACACACUUGGCUGGAUGCUGAGAGACAGAAGCCAAGGGUGGCUGGAUACGCUGGCACCGGACGGCUCCCACUCCCGGUCGCCUCUGAGCUCCUGCCUCAGCCACACCCUCCUGCCCAGCUCUGGCCCUGUGCCCUGGAUGCACAACCAGUCCCCCAGCCUCCACUCGGGCCCGCAGAGCUCUGGGCCCAGCCUGCCCCUGCCCCCACGCCCCAGUGCAUCCUUGUGGGCCACUACUCCCUUCCUGUCUUCUGUUCCGAUCAGCAGAAAGAGCCUCUCCAACUGAUCCACUAAAGCCUGCCUCUGGCUCAGUGCCAGCCUGCUGCCCAGCAGACCUGGAAGACAGACCAGCUGACCGCGCCCCCCAGGGGCCUCUCCCUCGGGAGCCCAGCUGCUCUUACACAGUCGCUUUCUGAUUUCCGGGCUUCCCUGCCCUGCAGCUCCUGGUCUCAAGCCUGUGAUUUCCUGGUCAACACAGCAACCGGGCCACGUGGAUCGGAAUCCGGUACCUCUGCCUGGCCUGCUGGCAGACGCUGGGGCAGUCCACCCAUGCCCCAGAUCUGUGCCCUCGACGCCAGUGUGGCCUCCUCCUCCAGGUCUCCCCUUUCCCCCUGAAUCACCGGGUCGCUCCUCUGGCAUUGACUUGCUGCCUUUUACAUGUUUUUUCUCCUGUGAGGUGCGAUUUCAUGAAAAUAAAGAAUUUGAUGAACUCGGUAUAUUUUUUCAGCAAAAUCCAAGCUAACAAUGUGACCUCAGAAAGCGAUAGGAAACCAGGGUGAAACAACAACCAAAGAAGAAAGUGAAAAUUUUGCGGACACUCUCCCAGCUCCCAAAGAGCCGAGUCGGGUCAGUUUGUCAGCCGGGUUCACAAACAGUGCGUGCGUUCUAGGUGGCUCAGCCUGCACAGACUGUCUGUGCAGCAGAGGCGUGGCGAGGAGACGUUCAUGAAUGAAACCGCUGUCUCAGGCCAGGAAAAGCCGAGGCUGAGCUAGACCAGCUUGGCGCAGAUACUGGUUGAAGCCGUGGAUGUGCCCAUGGGGAGUGGUAUUAGGUUCUGUCUUCGGGCCUGCCAUGUUUCCUAAUAAAAUGUUCCUUAAGAGCUGCUGGGGGGCUGGGGUGCAGCACUUGCCGGCAUGCUUGGGGCUGGGCCAGAUCCCCAGCCCUGCAAAACACACACGGACGCACAGAACUGCUGAAGGGGUGGUGGGGUAUGGCCUGGGGACACAGGGAGGGCACAGUCCCCCAGAGUCUACAUGCCAGGGUCACCACUUUCAAAAGAGGAAGAAGAGCUAGGUAGGAGUAGAGUGGAAGACUGUGAAAGUUUUUUCAGAAAGUAUUUUCUCUGAGUUGAAUAUUUCCCAGGAUUUUACCUAAGACUGUGUCUCAACAGCCACCACAGGAUCCAUGAAACUUCCCAAGGUUUUCUUCUAGGAAAACAGUUUCUAUUGGAAUUAUCCAAGAACAGAAGGAAUCCGGCUACUAAAAAGGAGAAUGGUGCCCUGCUCCCCAUAAUCUAUUAAAUCCUCAUGGAUUGUAGGUUUCCAACUUUGGUUCUGUGCUGUUGGAAACUUGUCUACUCCUAAGGUGGAAAUGGCCCCUCAGUGACCAUGACUUUAUUACGUUUUGCUUUCUGGUCAGGACCAAUGCUCCUUGAUUGUUUUUAAUGGUCGUGGGUAUACUCCUGUACUCGUUUUUCCAUAUAAAUUUUAGAAUAGUGUACAUUGUCAUUUUCUUAAGAUCUCCUUGGCACUUGAUUGGAGUGACAUAAAAUCUGCUGGCUAACCUGGGGAUCAGCGGCUAUCAAAGCAGCAAGUCUGUCUGUCCUGCUCAGGGGACCUGGAAUCACUGUCCUGGGCCUCAGUAGUGACUCUAAUUAAUCGUGACAACCUGGUGUUUACGGAGCCGGGGGAGACUCUGGACAGAGGCCGGUCACCGCAGCCAGUCACUCAGGCACCAGAGGAACAAGCAUCAUUGAAUGGCUUUUGGGAAGAGUAAACACAAUUCUGGAUUCUCAGAUUUACUGGGGAAAAGGCAGAGCAUGCUGGUAGGGACUGCAGAGGACUCGGGGCUGUGAGCCCAGAGAGGUGGCGUGCAGAGAAGAGAGGGCUGUUGCAUUAGUAAUAGCGUCACCUAUGGCUUCUUUUGAUUUUUUAAUUUUUGUGCAUUCUUUUAUUUCAUUUUUGCUCUUCUCUUUACUUCCUAUUUUUAAAAA